rnacentral:lncRNA from 1 species
UAUGUUAUUAAUGUGGUAAGAAAUAAUAUUAAUAAUUAUAAUUGCCCGAAAUUGACCCGCGAUUUAUUGUAUAAUAUAAUACACUGGUUAUUGGGAGCUUGAAAUAUUCGAUUUUGUGCUGAAUGUUGAACAAGUCGGAAACGGGAAGCUCGGUGCGUCAGUAGUGGAUAUCCGUUGACAUCUCCUAAGGGGUACCAAUUUGACCCAAAAGAAGCAACUUUAACACCCGGCAGUAAUAGCCACAUUUUAUGUAAGAGAUUACCAUUAUCUUGAUGUUGCAGACGCGAAAACACAGAUUUAAUUUGAUAUUCACAGCUAGCAGCCAUAUUGUUGCGAGAAGAUUGGCGGACAUAACUAACUUCACUAAUUUGAUAAGUGCUCGACAGCGAUGGGCAAGAAGUGGUUGAAUAAGAUCAACGCUAGUUUCUUAUCUGUUUGACAUUAGUGGAUUAACAAAAUUCAUGAAACCACUUCUAACUUGCAAAAACAAAUAACUAUAAAAAGACUCUUCUCAUUAUUUAUUUUCUAGAGGUUUCACAAUCUGGGCAAGUUACGGAUUUCAUAUAAUACUGCCACUAAGUGCCAAGCAUUUAGGCUCUGACCAUCCCACCUACUUCAAAGAUAAAGGAGCGCUGGUGGUGGUGGCCGGUGGUAGGUGAAUGGAAGAAUCCGUCGAGAACUCCCCGCAAUCUCGAGCAUGAAUGUGGAAUGGUAUAUUUUUGCAUAGUUCCAGGACAUCAGAGGAAGCCAUGAGGGAUUUUGGUACAAUACAUGUAUUAUGGCAUCUACAACAAACCGCUCGAGACGCCAAAUUUCUUUGAUUUCCAAACAAGUGCCUCAUAGUUCACCGUAUUCUCCACGUACUUCCGUUCAAUGUUGCUGUUUUGGGGUAUAGCAAUAUCAAUAAUGUGCGCAGAACGACCCGUCUCUGAACUAACAGGACAUCGGGUUUGUUUUAACAAUACAUACUGUAAACAGGACGAUUAGGUAGUGCCUGGGGCUCAUAUCAGUAAACCGGACAUGUUCCCGUGAUCAUUCCAUGUUUGUAUGCAAAGCUUUGGUUAAUCACUUUACAUGCAGCAUUGUGUAUUGCACCGCCGCCAUUAUAGUGCAACCUGAAAUAAGAUGGUCCAAAGUCUCCAGUGCCGAACCAUAUAUUCUGCAUUGGUCGUUCGCCACCCGUUUUUCAUAAACUCGGGUGGCGACCACGCCGACCCGAAUAGCACACAUAAAUCCCUUCGUCUCAGCAAAGAGCUCUCCAGCACACAGCCAUCUGUUCGACAAAUAUAAAUUGAUAAAUGGUUGCCAAAGACCAUUGACGUGUUUACCAUGCGUUGCCAUCGAAAUCAUUCAUCGAUCCGUUUUUGGUCUGAGUUCACCCCACUUAGGGAAUGGAAAGAUCGCUCCUUCAAGUAAGUCGGACAAACAAAUGAAAAAUAUCAUUGUAACAAAAAAUUUAAAUGAUAAAGACCAAAAUAUUAUAUUACCACGACAUAAUUUGAUUAAAUACGCAAAUUCUCAAAUAAAUAUAAAUAACCUUACGUAUAAGAACCAAAUAUACUACAUUGAAAAUAACGUCAUACUACCCAAUGCAAUUAGGAAUAUAAGCUGUGGGGAAUAUA